AGUGAACGCUGGCGGUAGGCCUAACACAUGCAAGUCGAACGGCAGCACAGUAAGAGCUUGCUCUUACGGGUGGCGCGUGGCGGACGGGUGAGGAAUACAUCGGAAUCUACUUUUUCGUGGGGGAUAACGUAGGGAAACUUACGCUAAUACCGCAUACGACCUACGGGUGAAAGCAGGGGAUCUUCGGACCUUGCGCGAUUGAAUGAGCCGAUGUCGGAUUAGCUAGUUGGCGGGGUAAAGGCCCACCAAGGCGACGAUCCGUAGCUGGUCUGAGAGGAUGAUCAGCCACACUGGAACUGAGACACGGUCCAGACUCCUACGGGAGGCAGCAGUGGGGAAUAUUGGACAAUGGGCGCAAGCCUGAUCCAGCCAUACCGCGUGGGUGAAGAAGGCCCUCGGGUUGUAAAGCCCUUUUGUUGGGAAAGAAAAGCAGCAGGUUAAUACCCCGCUGUUCUGACGGUACCCAAAGAAUAAGCACCGGCUAACUUCGUG
rnacentral:rRNA from 1 species